GGCAACAUGUGGCCUUGAGGCCAAAGGUUCCCCACCCCUACUCUAGACCCAUUUCUCUAACUGAAUUAUAUUUUUGUUUAAAAAAAAAAAAGGAAACAAAACCAACACUUUCCUUUUGGUUCUACUGUUGAUAGUAAUGUUGGUUAAGUAUCUUACAGACUGCCCUUAGAUGAGGAAUCAUAGAAAAUAUAAAAAGAGUAGGAAAGGCUCCUCUAGACAUCCGAUAGUACAGAAAGACAUACCAUUAGUAGUGUGGUCUAAUAAAUACACUGGCAGUUUGUCCUUCCCUUCCUUUAGGAGACUUCCUCAAUCUAAUAGUACUUACUGUCAAAGUAUUUCCUGAUGAAAUGCCUCAAUUCCCCCUUAGCUUGAUAUCAUUUUUUUCUGUUCUACUUUGCUGGACUAAGCCAUCCUUUUCCUAGCUCUAUGCUCUUCUGUUUGCUGAAUGCUUUGUGGUUAUUGGUUAAUCCUCAUAUCAGUUAUCACUCAUUGUUAUCCUAUCCAUUUCCAGAAGGAAAAAAAAAACUUUCUCCAGAGAAAGGUGCCUGCCUUCAGGAGGCUUUUUAUUAGUAGGUGGUAAAAACAUGACCUUUUCUCCAAGGGCUGAAAACAGAGUCCAGAAGCAUGUCAAGGAUAACGAUGAAGAAACUGUGGCCAAGAUAGGUGACGUUUCCUGGCCUAGGUCACACAAGGAGUCAGUGGUGGAAGGGUGAUUUGAAUCCAGAGAGGCCGAUCACCUCUGGAGCUGGUGUUCUUCCCAUUCUACCAUGUUGCCCAGCAUCACAACAGACACCCAUUGUUUCAGGAAACACGGAAGGCCCAAGAUGGUAACAGAUGAACCACCAGUUAUAUCCAAUUCUCAGGAUGCCUCCCAAUUAUAGAUGCCCCUCCCUUCCAUCCUUCCUGUGCUUCCCCAGCUGCAAGAGUGGCCACUCCAAGGUCAUUGUCUUAAUCUGAUGAGAGCCCUUGAACUUCAGGUCCCUAUUUUUAAGUGUCACUUUCAGACAGACCUUGGAAUAUCUCCAUCUCCUUUCUGGCCACAGAUGAACUCAGGAAGGAGAGGUCAACUUUGGGUUGGCAGUGCUGAGUUACAAGAACAUAAAAAACAUUUGACCACUGACUAUUACCUGGCUGGACACUAGUUUAAUUUACCAUUUUGGCAGGCAAAUGGGAAGCAGCAUGAUGUAGGGGAAGAAGCUGGACUGAAGCAGCUAGGAGAUACAGAGCAGAGGUGUCAACCACGUAGCCCACAGGCAUGACCCUCAACACUCCUGGGUGCAGCUGAAACCAGGUUACAAUGUAAUUGGGGAAUAUUUAAUAAAAUAAAUAAAAAUACAA